GAUCCUACAGCACCUUGAUUUGGCGUGGAUAAACCACUAGCAUGAAUGGGAAGAAUAUCUGGGCUUGAUGCAGUUGCAUCACAGAUAUCAAGGGGCGUCAAAACACCUCCAUUUUUGUUUGUGGGUACUUGUUCAAGGGCAUUAACAUGAGAACUGUGAACUGGUACUAUUUGUUUAGGAUCCUGGUUAUCAUUCUGACUCCUCCUGUAAAGGUACUUCUU
rnacentral:misc_RNA from 1 species